GCCCCGCCCUCACCCCCCACUGUGUUUACCUGCUUGUUCUCUGAAAGCUUUUAGGACUUUCUUUUUAAAAAAUCUCUGAUGUCUUAAAUUUUACAUCAUGGCUUGUAGUUGGCCAGCUUUCAUAAAACAGGGAAGCUAUUGUUCACCUUGACUGGUUAUAUUGAAGUCCUUGUGAGGGGAAAAGGACCAUCAAAGAGAAGAUCCCUGAGUGCUGGUAACAAUGCAGGGCUAUUUAAAGGUGGAUUCUUUACCACUAGCACCAGCUGGGAGCCCCGUAUUCAGAAGUACGUUUCCCUAAAUCUGACAUAUUCAGUCUGGAAGAGUUACACAAAGACCAGCCAAAGCUUUGAAAAGGUUGCUUCAGAGCCUGACUGGAUUCUUCCACAAACCUCCACCCUCCCUCUUUGUGCUGGGAACUAGGAGGUGUUUUUGUUUUCUGUUAAUAGUAGUGAAGAGUCCAACACAGAGUAGGUGUUCAAUAAAGGUACAUUAAGAAGCUCUAAUCAGGGACUUCUCUGGUGGCACAGAGGAUAAGAAUCUGCCUGAAGGUGCAGGGGAAACUGGUUCGAUCUCAGGUCCAGGAAGAUUCCACAUGUCUUGAAGCAGCUAAGCCUUUGCAUCACAACUACUGAGCCCACAUUCUAGAGCCCAUGUGCUGCAACUACUGAAGCCUGCAUGCCUGGAGCCUGUGCUCCACAAGAGAAGCUUCUGCGAUGAGAAACCCACACAUCACAAGGAAGAGCAGCACCUGCUUGCUGCAACUAGAGAAAGCCUGAGCAAAAGCAAUGACGUCCAGGUCCAGUGGCUAAGAAUCCGCUUGCCAAAGCAGAGGAUAUGGGUUCCAUCCUGGUCCAGGAAGAUUCCACACGCUGUAAGGCAACUGAGCCCCUGCACCACAACUACUGAGCCCACACUCUAGAGCCUGUGUGAUUCAACAGGAGAAGACAGCACAAUGAGAAGACUAAGCACGACUUGAGAGUAGCCCCUACUCUCUGCAACAAGACAAAGCCCACAGACAGCAAGGAAGACCCAGCGCAGCCAAAAA
ensembl:lncRNA